AGUCCUGUGGUGUAAUGGUAGCACAAGUGAUUCUGGUUCACUUUGUUGAGGUUCGAAUCCUUACAGGACUACCA
rnacentral:tRNA from 1 species